rnacentral:rRNA from 1 species
AUAGAGACUCAGAGCUGCAUAUCAAUAAGCGGAGGAAAAGAAACUAACUAAGGAUUCCCUUAGUAACGGCGAGUGAAGCGGGAAGAGCUCAAAUUUGAAAUCUUCAAGGUUCUACCUUGACGAAUUGUAGUUUAAAGAAGUGUUUUCUGUUGAAGUUUCGGUAAAAGUUCUUUGGAAUAGGACAUCAUAGAGGGUGAGAAUCCCGUAUUUGACCAGUUAUUUCCAGCUGUGUGAUACACUUUCAAAGAGUCGGAUUGUUUGGGAAUGCAGUCCAAAAUGGGUGGUAAAUUUCAUCUAAAGCUAAAUAUUGGCGAGAGACCGAUAGCGAACAAGUACCGUGAGGGAAAGAUGAAAAGAACUUUGAAAAGAGAGUUAAACAGUACGUGAAAUUGUCAAAAGGGAAGCGUUUGACACCAGUGUUGUUUUCUCGAAAAUCAAUUAAAAAAGACCGGAUUUUGUGUUGUAUUGACUUUAUCAGCUUUCUGCACUUUUUUCUUGUCUUUUUAAUGCACUUUUCGGUUAACAAGUCAACAUCAAUUUCUUUUGUUGUAAAAGAGUCAUUCGGAAGGUGGCUUUCUUUUCGGAGAAAGUGUUUAUAGCCUUAUGCCUCUACAAUCGGAGAGAUUGAGGUCUGCAGCGUAGAUCCUUCGGGGUUAGAUACAUUUGUGCUAAGUUAGUAGCCUUUCAUAGACAACUUGUUGACUAUGAUCAGUCAUGUAGGCUUACUCGCUUAUGCUAUUUUACCUACGCUUAGGAUGUUGACGAUCAGCUGAGCGCG